UACCAGCACCCCGAGUGGUCGGGACGUUUAUUGGCCUAAAGCAUCCGUAGCCGGUUCUACAAGUCUUCCGUUAAAUCCAGCUGCUUAACAGAUGGCUGCGGAAGAUACUAUAGAGCUAGGAGGCGGGAGAGGCAAGCGGUACUCGAUGGGUAGGGGUAAAAUCCGUUGAUCCAUUGAAGACCACCAGUGGCGAAGGCGGCUUGCCAGAACGCGCUCGACGGUGAGGGAUGAAAGCUGGGGAGCAA
rnacentral:rRNA from 1 species